GACGAACGCUGGCGGCGUGCCUAAUGCAUGCAAGUCGAACGCACUCGCUUCGGCGAGUGAGUGGCGCACGGCUGAGUAACACGUGGGAACCCGCCCCCGGUGGGGGAUAACGCGACGAAAGUUGCGCUAAUCCCGCAUACCUCCGCAACGAGAAAGCGCCUCCGCGCGCCGGGGGAGGGGCCUGCGGCCCAUCAGGUCGUUGGUGGGGUAAUGGCCUACCAAGCCGAUGACGGGUAGCUGGUCUGGGAGGAUGACCAGCCAGACUGGGACUGAGACACGGCCCAGACUCCUACGGGAGGCAGCAGCAAGGAAUUUUCGGCAAUGGGCGCAAGCCUGACCGAGCAACGCCGCGUGCGGGAUGACGGCCUUCGGGUUGUAAACCGCUUUUCGGGGGGGACGACCC
rnacentral:rRNA from 1 species